GUUCUGUUUUAAAUUAUGGACAAAAUUGUUAUUUCAAAAUUUCGAUUUGGGAUCCAUCAUAGAGGAAAUCCCCCACAAUGACAGUUGGUAGGUAUUUAAGGAUGUACUGAUUGUACUUAGGUGAGGUUUUGGAAUUUGUGUCAAAUGUUCAGACUCCUUGGUGUUUUUCCAUACAAUACAAUGUUAAAUAUUUUACCCCACAACACCCAUUUAUUUUUUGAUAUAAGACUUAAUAGUCCAUUAAGAGGUCAUUUACCAAAAUUUUAAAAGAUUCUUGAUUUUCAUUCUUUUGUUUUGAGACCCAAAUAAUACUAAUGCAAAUAUAGGGUAUAAGUCUGAGUCAGCCUUUUCCCGCCAUAUUUUAAAUCUCAAAUAUCUCGAAAAGGAGGUCCAUGACCUAUCAAUAUUUUUAGCUUAUCUUUAUCCUUAAUUGAUGAUCUACCAGCUUAUAGUAUCAAUUUUAAUUUCUUAAUUUCUUAAAUUUUUACCUUACCUCACCUAAGUACAUCCUUAAGCCUUGGGAAGACAAAUUGUAUUAUGGUAUACAUAUGUCCGUUUGCUCAUCCAUGUCAGUAUAUUUUGCUGUAGUGUAACUGAUACAUUUAUAGUCUGAAAAUUUUACACUAUGUUAGCACCUGAAGUGAAUUUUGCUUUUAAUUUUUACAAAUUGUCUUGUUCAGUUUGAACUAUGUGCAUAGAUAUUAGAAAACAGAUUUCUGACACUUGCUUGCUUUCUGUGAAUCCAUGGCAGCAUUCUGUCAUGACAAAAGAAAAAGAG
rnacentral:lncRNA from 1 species